AAUUUUGGACAAUGGGGUAAAUCCUGAUCCAGCCAUGGCGCUUGUGUGAAGAAGGUCUUUGGAUUGUAAAGCACUUUAAGUUGGGAGGAAGGGCUUUAGGUUAAUACCCUGAAGUUUUGACGUUACCAAAGGAAUAAGCACCGGCUCACUCUGUGCCAUCAGCCGCGGUAAUACAGAGGGUGCAAGCGUUAAUCGGAAUUACUGGGCGUAAAGCGCGCGUAGGUGGUUCAGUAAGAUGGGUGUGAAAUCCCGGGGCUUAACCUGGGAACUGCUUUCAUAACUGCUGAGCUAGAGUACGGUAGAGGGUAGUGGAAUUUCCUGUGUAGCGGUGAAAUGCGUAGAUAUAGGAAGGAACACCAGUGGCGAAGGCGACUACCUGGACUGAUACUGACACUGAGGUGCGAAAGCGUGGGGAGCAAAC
rnacentral:rRNA from 1 species